rnacentral:rRNA from 1 species
GAUCAUGGCUCAGGAUGAACGCUAGCGGCAGGCCUAACACAUGCAAGACUAGGGGGCAGCAAUGUCACCGUCGCACGGGUGCGUAACGCGUAUGCAACCUACCUAUCACAGGGGGAUAGCCUUUGGAAACAGGGAUUAAUACCGCAUAAAGCAGGGGCUCCGCAUGGAGAUAUUGCUAAAGAUUUAUCGGUGAUAGAUGGGCAUGCGUCUGAUUAGUUAGAUGGUAGGGUAACGGCCUACCAUGACGAUGAUCAGUAGGGGGCGUCAGAGCGUGGUCCCCCACACUGGCACUGAGAUACGGGCCAGACUCCUACGGGAGGCAGCAGUAGGGAAUAUUGGGGCAAUGGAUGCAAGUCUGACCCAGCCAUGCCGCGUGAAGGAAGAAGGUCCUCUGGAUUGUAAACUUCUUUUAUCGGGGAAGAAGAAACGCCUUGCGAGGUGAAGUGACGGUACCCGAUGAAUAAGCCACGGCUAACUACGUG